UACGUAGGGGGCAAGCGUUGUCCGGAAUCAUUGGGCGUAAAGAGCGUGUAGGCGGUCCGGUCAGUCGGUUGUGAAAGUCAAGGGCUCAACCCUUGAAUGCCGGCCGAUACUGCCGGGCUAGAGUCCGGAAGAGGUGAGUGGAAUUCCUGGUGUAGCGGUGAAAUGCGCAGAUAUCAGGAGGAACACCAAUGGCGAAGGCAGCUCACUGGGACGGUACUGACGCUGAGACGCGAAAGCGUGGGGAGCAAACAGG
rnacentral:rRNA from 1 species